rnacentral:rRNA from 1 species
GACGAACGCUGGCGGCGUGCCUAAUACAUGCAAGUUGAGCGAUGAAGCUUGGUGCUUGCACCCAUUUGAAGAGCAGCGAACGGGUGAGUAACGCGUGGGGAAUCUGCCUUUGAGCGGGGGACAACAUUUGGAAACGAAUGCUAAUACCGCAUAACAACUUUAAACAUAAGUUUUAAGUUUGAAAGAUGCAAUUGCAUCACUCAAAGAUGAUCCCGCGUUGUAUUAGCUAGUUGGUGAGGUAAAGGCUCACCAAGGCGAUGAUACAUAGCCGACCUGAGAGGGUGAUCGGCCACAUUGGGACUGAGACACGGCCCAAACUCCUACGGGAGGCAGCAGUAGGGAAUCUUCGGCAAUGGACGAAAGUCUGACCGAGCAACGCCGCGUGAGUGAAGAAGGUGUUCGGAUCGUAAAACUCUGUUGGUAGAGAAGAACGUUGGUGAGAGUGGAAAGCUCAUCAAGUGACGGUAACUACCCAGAAAGGGACGGCUAACUACGU